GGCAUAACCUAGCCUGAUGGAACCAGCCUGACCGCUAUGUUUACCAUAUAAUGUCCAGGGUAUAAUCUAGCCUGGUGGAACCAGCCUGACCGCUUUGUUUACCAUAUAAUGUCCAGAGUAUAACCUAGCCUGGUGAAACCAGCCUGACCGCUAUGUUUACCAUAUAAUGUCCAGGGUAUAACCUAGCCUGGUGGAACCAGCCUGACCGCUAUGUUUACCAUAUAAUGUCCAGGGUAUAAUCUAGCCUGGUGGAACCAGCCUGACCGCUAUGUUUACCAUAUAAUGUCCAGGGUAUAAUCUAGCCUGGUGGAACCAGCCUGACCGCUAUGUUUACCAUAUAAUGUCCAGGGUAUAACCUAGCCUGGUGGAACCAGCCUGACCGCUAUGUUUACCAUAUAAUGUCCAGGGUAUAAUCUAGCCUGGUGGAACCAGCCUGACCGCUAUGUUUACCAUAUAAUGUCCAGGGUAUAAUCUAGCCUAGUGGAACCAGCCUGACCGCUAUGUUUACCAUAUAAUGUCCAGGGUAUAAUCUAGCCUGGUGGAACCAGCCUGACCGCUAUGUUUACCAUAUAAUGUCCAGGGUAUAAUCUAGCCUGGUGGAACCAGCCUGACCGCUAUGUUUACCAUAUAAUGUCCAGGGUAUAACCUAGCCUGGUGGAACCAGCCUGACCGCUAUGUUCACUAUAUAAUGUCCAGGGUAUAACCUAGCCUGGUGGAACCAGCCUGACCGCUAUGUUUACCAUAUAAUGUCCAGGGCAUAACUUAGCCUGGUGGAACCAGCCUGACCGCUGUGUUCACCAUUCUAUUUCACUUCACAUUUUAUGAUAUCUAAAGUAAAAAAAGAAAGGUGAACGCAGUGAUCAGGUUGGUUCCACCAGGCUAAUCGUAACUACCAUUGAUAAUGUAAUAGGUGCUCUGUGCGUGUAUGUGUGUGUUAGUGUUUGGUGAGGGGCCAGGAGCUGAUCUACGCUGCUAUGGGGCUCUGGGAAAGACCUCACUUCCAGCCUCACCUCUUGCCUAAGGCUGUUACUGCGACAGCAUUUCCGCCACACCGGCGGUCACGUGUCAUGACCACAGUCAAAUUCCACAUGACCGUUUAGUCACCGUAAAAAGGCUUCUCCAAAACUGCGCUCCGAUGCUGCUGAUGGUCAUCAGUAGCCUACCAAACUUGCUAACUGCCAGUUGCUAAUGGCCUGGUAGUCAGGGCUCUAUUGUCCAUCUAACCACUCGGACAUUAAUGCAAAUUCAAUUGAAAAUCAAAUCAAACACUUCUUCAUGAGAGCCCAUGUUGCGCAACAUUUCUAUACGCUAUACAAUUGUGUGAGAAAACAUAGUUUUGAUGGCCUCUACUAAUAGGAGGAUCCUAUCAUCUUUCUAUGUUUACUAUAUUUAUUUCUCAACCUUCCUAAUAUUAAGCCCAUUGCUUCUCUUUGCAACAGGAGUAUAGUCUAGUUGGGAAAAGCGUCCUCCAUUCGCUAUUUAAGUGCAUAGAUAACUUAUCAUUCUUCCCCUGCCCCUGUUCCGACAGGUGCAUGAUGACAUAACGGUCCAUUCUAAAUCAAAACUAAUUUCACACAUAUAUUAUUUAGUGUUUGUAAUGACAAGAUGGAAUAAAAAUUGUCUGAUGGGUUAUUAUCACUUGUGAAUAAUGCCCAGUGUGUACAGUAAGGCAAGAAACAGCCCAUGCCUUUUUUCACCCGUACUUUUUCAAAUCAUAGUUGCACACAUCAUGUACCCUAGCCAAUAGUCCUAUAUGUUUGUAUCACAACUAAAGUGGCCAAAUAACUCCAAACAUAGCCCAUAGUCCUAGGACCCCUGGAACACAGUUAGAGAGCCCAUAGCCCACAGAGCCGAGUGAAACAUGUUCUUAUAAGCCCCGUCAUUGCGCAAUCACAUGUGAAAACAUCCUUUUGAUUGUCCACUAUUUGAAAGAGGAUCGUGCCGCUAUAUUUAUUGCUCAAUUCUUAAAAUGAAGCACAUUAAUCAGCUUUUACAACCUGGCAAGAUGGCGCAUGAGAUGGACAGUUUGGGGAAGCUCAUUUUCACCAUUAAAUAUACCUUUAUAAAAAAGCAUUCCAUGCAUCAUCCCUUUUGCAGACUUAUGUAAGAUAGCCUACUGUUCAUUAUGUGAUGAGUAGAUUGGACAGUCAUCAUUUAGGAUAAUAAUGUAACUCAUCCAUGUUUGCAAGAAAAGACAACGCAUGGCUGAGCCUGUACAGCAUAUAGAGUAGGCCGAGGCUAUAACAGAUAAGUUUCUUCUUUCUUUGCAUGUGGCCUGCUAUAAACACAUUUCAUGCAAUUCUACUACACUUUAUAUGUGACUGGAGACAUUAGCAGACUCCUUUCUAUUAGGACAAAAGGUAGCCUACUCCGCUGACAGUGACAAACAUAUCAAUACAAAUGAUCUCAUAUAAUCUCAUAUGAUCUCAUAAAUCACAUAAUAGGCCUACUAGAGGGGAGACACACAUAGAAUAUGACGUCCAUCUAAACUGAAGGAGGAAAUCAUUGAGCAAAAACUAACUUUUAAGUAGCACUAUGUCAACAAUGCUAAAUAGUGAAUAUGCACAUUGCGCACUCACUGGGGAUGUUGCCGAUGCGCUCUGCUGGUGCCAAUAAAACAGGCUAUUCUGUUGUUCGCUCAGUUAAGUUGAGAAUGUUGAUAACGACAAGACAGAUUAGUCUUUUCAUUGUCUUCUCUUUACAGAAAUAACCAUUUGCUUUCCAAACCAUGUCUUCCGGCGAUUGUCUUUUCAAAUAUUGGCCUCUGUACUUUUCAGACAGUUGCAACUCAACAAUAGUCUUCCCAAACUACGCGUGCUGCCUUUCCUUCCGACUAGAUAAAUGUUCUCCGUGACUAAAUCAUUCUUUCGUAGCCUAUUUAUUUCUGUAUAGACAGGAGUAGGCUAAUAAGGCUAUAUAUACAGUAUUUAGGCAAUUUAAUUCAAUUUACUUUAGGAAAAGCUUCCCCUAGCCUUAUGGAUGUGCUGCCUAUGUUUGCAUAUAAAAAACAUAACCGCACAUAACCUCCAUUCGCUAUUCGAGUGCAGGCUACGGAUGAUGCUUUUUUAAUUCCACCCAUAGGCUAUAUGUAAAGACCAGAUUAUAUUAAGAAUAGUCUGAUGUAGUGACAAUAUUAUCAAGUGCUUGUCAAAUUGUGAAUGAGACUGGUGAAGUGUGUGCAAGCCUGCGCAGGAAACAGCAGAGCUCAUGCCUUUCAUGCAACUUUUUUUCAAAUCAUCAUUAGAGUCAUUAUGUGUUCACAGAUACAUGAGACGCAGAGAUGCCUGGCACUCUCAACACAUCCACCAUGAAGUGAUUAAUAAUAAUAAGGUACAGCAGAAAUGUCCAAUAAUAACAACACCCUUUUCAUUCCAUGUGUUGCUGAUGAACUCUGCCUCAACUCUGCCUAUUUCUACUGAUGGACUGGAGAUGCUAUUUCCAGACGGCAGCCUCAGUGGUUUGAUGGGGAGACCAUAAUUGGAAACAUGUAUGGAGCCAGCACAUGGAGACCUGCAAGAUGAUGUGUGAAGUCCAGACUGAAAGACGGGCUUGAUACUGAUGUCUUCUGAAUGGAGAUAGUCCUGUCACUUUGCAUUAAAAUGUUGCAUUAAAUUUGUUCAGAAAACUUUGA